GAAGAGGAUCAAUAAGGUGUUGAGAGCAGUCUCCGUCGGCACAGAAAGGGAGAAACAUCAGAGCAGAGGGAAGCUGUGGACAUUCACAAGAUGGUGAAGAUGCAGUGGAGUCUGUUGGUGUUGAUUGUGAUGGGUCAGUGUUCCUCCAUUGGGGGUCAGCUGUGUGACUACCACUUCAUUGGAGAGAAUAUGACCUGGAAAGCAG